UACGGAGGAUGCGAGCGUUAUCCGGAUUUAUUGGGUUUAAAGGGUGCGUAGGCGGCUUAGUAAGUCAGCGGUGAAAUUUUGCAGCUUAACUGUAACAGUGCCGUUGAUACUGCCAGGCUAGGAUUUGGUUGCUGUGGGUGGAAUGUGUGGUGUAGCGGUGAAAUGCUUAGAGAUCACACAGAAUAUCGAUUGCGAAGGCAGCUCACAAAGCCAAGAUUGACGCUGAGGCACGAAAGUGUGGGGAUCAAACAGGA
rnacentral:rRNA from 1 species